ACCCUGGUAGUCCACGCCGUAAACGGUGGGAACUAGGUGUUGGCGACAUUCCACGUCGUCGGUGCCGCAGCUAACGCAUUAAGUUCCCCGCCUGGGGAGUACGGCCGCAAGGCUAAAACUCAAAGGAAUUGACGGGGGCCCGCACAAGCGGCGGAGCAUGUGGCUUAAUUCGACGCAACGCGAAGAACCUUACCAAGGCUUGACAUACACCGGAAAACUCUGGAGACAGGGUCCCCCUUGUGGU
rnacentral:rRNA from 1 species